AACGAACGCUGGCGGCAUGCCUAACACAUGCAAGUCGAACGAGAUCUUCGGGUCUAGUGGCGCACGGGUGCGUAACGCGUGGGAAUCUGCCCUUUGGUUCGGAAUAACAGUUGGAAACGACUGCUAAUACCGGAUGAUGACGAAAGUCCAAAGAUUUAUCGCCAGAGGAUGAGCCCGCGUAGGAUUAGCUUGUUGGUGUGGUAAAGGCGCACCAAGGCGACGAUCCUUAGCUGGUCGGAGAGGAUGAUCAGCCCCACUGGGACUGAGACACGGCCCAGACUCCUACGGGAGGCAGCAGUGGGGAAUAUUGGACAAUGGGCUAAAGCCUGAUCCAGCAAUGCCGCGUGAGUGAUGAAGGCCUUAGGGUUGUAAAGCUCUUUUACCCGGGAUGAUAAUGACAGUACCGGGAGAAUAAGCUCCGGCUAACUCCGUGCCAGCAGCCGCCGUAA
rnacentral:rRNA from 1 species